GUGGGGAAUAUUGGACAAUGGGGGGAACCCUGAUCCAGCCAUGCCGCGUGUGUGAAGAAGGCCUUUUGGUUGUAAAGCACUUUAAGCGAGGAGGAGGCUACCGAGAUUAAUACUCUUGGAUAGUGGACGUUACUCGCAGAAUAAGCACCGGCUAACUCUGUGCCAGCAGCCGCGGUAAUACAGAGGGUGCAAGCGUUAAUCGGAUUUACUGGGCGUAAAGCGUGCGUAGGCGGCUUCUUAAGUCGGAUGUGAAAUCCCUGAGCUUAACUUAGGAAUUGCAUUCGAUACUGGGAAGCUAGAGUAUGGGAGAGGAUGGUAGAAUUCCAGGUGUAGCGGUGAAAUGCGUAGAGAUCUGGAGGAAUACCGAUGGCGAAGGCAGCCAUCUGGCCUAAUACUGACGCUGAGGUACGAAAGCAUGGGGAGCAAACAGGAUUAGAAACCCGAGUAGUCC
rnacentral:rRNA from 1 species